rnacentral:lncRNA from 1 species
ACAAAACUACUAAUUUUUAAACCAUUGCAAUGACAUGAUUCUUAUGUUUCAGACAUGCCUACAUGUUAAAACAUCUCAAAGUGGUAAAAUCUCCCAGUGAGAAGUACUUUACUCAGCAUGCAUUUCAAGAGAAACUCUCAAAAGACGAAUUAUGAGCAUGCAUGCAAUGGUACUGUAAAUUACUCCAUACUAGAGAGGAAUGUGAAUUACUGUCAUCAACAUGGAAGUCUACAAUUCCUGCAACGCACCAAUUUUAGGAAACUGACUAUAUCUUACAUAGUAGAUAUGGUAUGCAAGGCUGUUAUUCUAUUGGAUACGUAGUGAGACCUAUACAACAAAGCUCAAAAAAUAAUUCUUUAAAGAAAACCAUAACCUUAUAAAGAAAUUCAACUUGUUUUACACUGUGACAGAAUUUUUGAAGCAAGUCAGUAGCAUUGAAAAUGAAAUUAAGACAAGAAUCUACACAGUUGAAGAAGGUGGUGACCAUUAUCACAUGAACUCUUAUACAUAACCAAAUCAGAAUAAAACUGAAAGCUAUGAUGUAUAUAUAUAUGGUGAAUUUGAUGUUUUCUGAAACGAAGAUCGUAUGGUGAACCAUUCAGAACAAUGAUUUAACUAUACAUAACGAAAACUGAAAGCUAUGUUUUGCAAACACAUAACAAUGAUAGAUAUAUACCAAAUCAGAACAAGAAUUUAGCCCUAUUCAAUAAUACUUGGUUGAAGUAGGACGUCUUCGUCAUGAUCAACUACCUGCAUGAUAAGUAAACUCAAAAAAUCAAGAAAAAAGGAAACGAAUUGUAGAAAAUAACGCCUAGAUUUAUGAUCUGAAACGGGAGAGAAAAGUUCAAAAAAAUUCAGAAAACAAAACCUAAUACUUGGUUGAAAUAGGAGUCACGCGUCACGUAACACACCCUGCAUUGAAGAGAAAACAAACCCUAAACCUCAAAAUCAAGAGAAAAAAGGAAAUGCAGAAAAGCAAAACCCUAACAACAAUGUCUGAACGGCAAAGAAGAAGACGAGACAGGGAAAAAAAUCUCAAAAAAAUUUGGACCAUUUCUCGAUUUGUGCGUGUCAUCCUUGCGCAGGGCCAUGCUACUUCUCGUAUCGUUCCAAUUAUCGGAUUGUCCCCGAAGGGACGAUAGUGGUUACUCUUAACAUGGUAAAUAUAUAAACAAAACAAUGAAAUUAGGUCAUCAAUGGGGACUAAAAGUAAGUAGUACAUAUUAUUUCUCCUUGUUUUAGUUCUCUGCUUCAAUUCUGCACUAUUUUAAUGUAUCUCUUGCCUCAAUUCACUAAUUACUAGUACUAAUUAAUUAUCACUAAAUCUUCUCAAGGAUCAAGGUCCACAUGUAUACUAAUAAUCUUAGUAAUUUUUUUUUUUGGCUCUCCUAUACAAACUUACUAUUUUCUACAACUAGUAACAUCUGCGUAACAAACUAAUUUAAUACUUAAUUAUGAAUUAGCAUUACUAUUAUUUUUAUAUUAACUUAAUUACCAUUCACUCAUAAUUAAUACUCUUUACUUAUUAAUUGAUUAGUACUAUUAUAAUUAUUCUUUAUAUUAGUUACUCUUUAUCCAUUAACAAUAUCCUUAUUAAAUUAUAGCAAUCGUUUUUAUACUCUUCAAUAAUAAAUUUUUCUAACACUUUAUAAAAUUAUCCUAAUUUAACUUUAACUAAUUAAUUUCUAAAUGCAGUGGUUUUAAUUUGAAAUUAGUGUUUGUCCUAUAAGUGGUUUAAAAAUUUAAAUUCAAUACUAUUAUUGUUGCUCUUUAUUAUUAAUUGAUACUGUUCGUACAAUUAACUAUUGUUUACUCAUUAAUCAAUUAAUGUUAUUCUAUUAUUAGUUAUUAUUCCUUUCUCAUUAAUCAAUUAACCGUGUCCUUAUUAUACUCAAUUUUUCUUAAAGUAAUCGAUUUAAUACUCUUCACUUAAUAAAUCUUUAACACUUACAGAAUUAUCUAAUUUAAGUAUUUGACUAAUUAAUGUCUAAAAGUCUCUACUCAAAUUUUUUCAUUACUUAAUCACUCAAUUAGAAAAUGUAUAAAAAUCAAAUUAUAUCAAACACAAUUGCAUGUACCUUAAAGUCGGAUAAAACAAAAUAAAAACAAACUAGUGACAAGAAAUUAUGACGAAACAACAAUUGGAUAUACGAUGUAAAAUCAUCAUAAUAUAAUCGCAGUCUCACAUUUAUGUGGUUCAAUGGUUUAACUAAGAUGUAUCAUGAUCAAUGGUGUUUUUCAUGUUUCAUCAACAAAAGGAUUACUGCAACAUGUGUAAUCUUUUCCAUUGUCAUAAGUGUGCAUCAUUUGAUCCGGUGUUUUAUUAUUUGUGUCUAGAAUCCAAUAUUCCUUUGUUGUUGAUGUUUAAUGUCUUGUAUGAAUUGUCCUAUCUUAUAACACCGACAAAAAGUUAAACAAAUCGUUACAAGUCGGUCCCUCCACGAAAUAGUCACUAACCACCUACUCGGAAAUUUGGAGGAAGUUCAAAUCAACUUGCAAAUGCAUUGCCAAAGAGGAAACAUUAUAGGUCAUUUUGGGCAAAAUAUCAUUGAACAAGUGAUUUUCCCAACUCUUAAAAUGCAUAACUCCUUCAUUAACAAAUCCAAUUAAGAAAGUCAAAUUUGUGAUCAAAAUUUAAUUAGUUUGGGAAAAGAGCUACAACUUUGAUGAAGGAAUGUUUUCAUUUGAAGUCCAUAGAAAAAGUGUUCAAGGUGAAGAAGUGAACAUUUGAACUUGGGACUUAGAAAAUUUUCAAAUAUUUUGAUUCCCUAACUUCCACUCCAAAAUUUAUCAUGAAUCCAAGCUUUCAAAAAAAAACGUGUUUCAUCAUACAAAGUUGUUCCCCUUGAUCCUCGCCUUUCCAAAAAGUCCAAGAUUCAACCUUAUUUGAACCAACAGGAAUGAAGGACUUAACGCAUGGAUGCAAUGUGAGAUGCGCCAUUUGGAUGAUUUUUAUCCACAUUUCAUACAGCAAAAUGCAAUGGCCACUGACAUGAUUUUAGCAUGAAUCCUCACUCCUUUUGGAACCCUGAAUACAUCAAUUGAAUGGACCUAUCACACCCAUAGCAAGCAUCAAAGAGAAAUUAAACUAAAAUUGGCAAUUUUUGGAAGUGUGUGGAAAGAACAUCUCCUUUGGCUAUAAAUAAACCCUUAUUACUCAGAGAUUAAAGGGACCUGCAUGCCCAGCUUUGAACCUGCAAUACAAACUCUCACGCAUUAAAGAUAUCUUGAAGGUUUUCAUUUUAAAAUCGAGCUCAAAUUCUCUUCGUUUUGAGAAUUGAAACUCCAAGAGAUUCAUUUCCACACACUUCCAAAAAAUUGCCAAUUUUAGUAAUUCUUCUUGAAUGCGUUGCAUGGGUGCUGUGAAUUAGGUUCCAUCAAUUGAUGUAUUCAGGUCAAAAUGAGUGAGGAUCAUGCCUAAAAAUCCAUGUCAUGUGGCCAUGCAUGUUGUGUAUGAAAUGUGGUAGUAAAAAUCCAUCCAAUGGCAUCUCAACAUUGCAUCCAUGCGUAAGUCCUUCAUUCUUUGGUCAAAUAAGGUGAUUCUUUGCACUUUUUGGAACAAGGCGAGAUCAAGGGGAACAACUUUUAUGAUGAACACGUUUUUAUUUGAAGCUUGGAUCAUGAAUAAAUUUGAGGUGGAAGUUUUAGGGAAAUCAAACAUAUUUGAAAAUUUUCUAAUCCCAAGUCAAAUGUUACUUCUUCCACUUGAUAUUCAACUUUUUCUAUGGACUUCAAAUGAAAAACAUUCCUUCAUCAAAGUUGUAGCUCUUUCAAACUAUUAAAUUUUGAUCACAAAUUUGACUUUAUUUGGAUUUGUAUAUGAAGGGAAGUUAUGCACAUUUGUAGAAGUUGAGAAAAUCACUUGUUCAAAUGAUAUUGACCCCAAAAUGACCUAUACAUGUUUCCUCUGGGCACAUGCAUUUGCAAGUUGAAUUUUGAACUUCCUCAAAUUUCCGAGUAGUGGUUAGUGACUUAUUUCGUGAGGACCGACUGUAACGAUUUUGGUUACUUUUUGUGGUUUAUAAUGAUAGGACAAUUCAUACAAGACAUUAAACAUCAACAACAAAGAAUAUGGCAUUCUAACACAAAUAUAAACACCGGAUCAAAUGAUGCACACUAUGACAAUGGAAAAGAUUACACAUGUGCAGUAUCCUUUUGUGAUAACAUGAAAACACAUAUCAGAUACAUCUUUUAAACAUUGAACCACAUAAAUGUGAGACUCCGAUUAUAUUAUGAUGAUUUUACAUCGUAUAUCCAAUUGUUGUUUCGUCAUAUUCUUGUCACUAGUUUGUUUUUAUUUUUUUAUCCGACUUUAAGGUACAUGCAAUUGUUUUGUAUAAUUUGAUUUUUAUACAUUUCUAUUGAGUGAUUAAGUAGGAAAAAUAAUUUGAGUAGGAGACUUUUAGACAUUAAUUAGUCAAACUUAAAUUAGAUAAUUCUGUAAGUGUUAGAAGAAUUUAUUAAUGAAGAGUAUUAAAUCGAUUACUUUAAGAAAAAUUGAUUAAUAAGACACGGUUAAUGAUUAAUGAGAAGGAAUAACUAAUAAUAAGAAUAACAUAAUUGAUUAAUGAGUAAACAAUAGUAAUUUGUAACGACAGUAUCAAUUAAUAAAUAAAGAGCACUAAUAAUAGUAUUGAAUUAAAUUUUUAAACCCUAGAGGACAAACACUAUUUCAAAUUAAAACCACUGCAUUUAGAAAUUAUUAGUUAAAGUUAAAUUAGAUAAUUUAUUAAGUGUUAGAAAAAUUUAUUAUUGAAGAGUAUAAAACGAUUGCUAUAAUUUAAUAGAUAUUGUUAAUGGAUAAAGAGUAACUAAUAAUAAAGAAUAACUUAUAAUAGUACUAAUCAAUAAUAAGUAAAGAGUAUUAUUAUUAGUGAAUGGAUAAUUAAGUAUAAUUAAUAAAAAUAAUAGUAAUGCUAAUUCAAUAAUUAAGUGAUUAAUUAGUUUUCUUACCGCAGAUAGAUUACUAGUUGUAGAAAAUAGUAAGUUUGUAUAGGAGAGCCAAAAAAAAAAAUUACUAAAGUAUAGUAGUAAUACAUGGUGGACCUUGAACUCCUUGAGAAUUUUGUGUAUAAUUAAUUAGUACUAGUAAUUAAGUGAAGUUGAGGCAAGAGAAGAAUUAAAAAAUAGAUGCAGAAUGGAAGAGAGAAAUAAUAAGAAGGAGAAAUAAUUGUACUACUUACUUUAGUCCACACAUUGACUGCCUAAUUUCAUUGUUUAGUGUUUAUAUACCAUAAGUUAAGAGAACCACUAUCGUCCCUUCGGGGACAUCCGAUAAAUUGGAACGAUACAGAGAAAGAUUAGCAUGGCCCUGCGCAAGGAUGACACGCACAAAUCGAGAAAUGUCCAAAUUUUUUUUGAGAUUUUUUUCCUGUCUCGUCUUCUUCGCCUGCCGUUCAGACAUUGUUGUUAGGGUUUUGCUUUUCUGCAUUUCCUUUUCUCUUGAUUUUGAGUUUAGGGUUUUUGUUUUCUCUUCAAUGCAGGUGGUGUUCGUGACGACGUGACUCCUAUUUCAACACAGUAUAGGGUUUUGUUUUCUAUUUUUUUGACUUUUCUCUCCGUUCAGAUAUUAUUAGGGUUUGUUUUCUACAUUUCGUUUCCUUUUUUCUUUGAUUUUGAGUUUCUUUCAAUGCAGGUGGUGUUCAUGACGAGGUACUCCUACUUCAACAAGUAUUAUGUAUGGUUAAAUCUUGUUCUGAUUUGGUUAUUCUAUCAUUUUAUGUGUUGCGAAAACAUAGUUCAGUUUCGUUAUGUAUAGUUAAAUCAUUGUUCUGAUUUGGUUCACCAUAUCGAUCUUCGUUUCAGAAAACAUCAAAUUCACCAUAUAUAUAUAACAUAUAGCUUUUCAGUUUUAUUCUGAUUUGGUUAUGUAUAGAGUUCAUGUGAUAAUGUCCCGCACCUUCUUCAACUGUUGUAGAUCUUGUCUUAAUUUCAUUUCAAUGCUACUGACUUGCUUCAAAAUUCUGUCACGUGUAAAACAAGUUGAAUUUCUUUUAUAGUUAUGGUUUUCUUUUAAAGAUUUAUUUCUUUGAGCUUUGUGUAUGGUCUCACUACGUAUCCAAUAGAAAACCAGCCUUGCAAUUACCAUAUCUACAUGUAAGAAUAGUCAGUUUCCAUAAAAUUGGUGCGUUGCAGGGAAUUGUAGACCUUCCCAUUGGAUGACAGUAAUCACAUUCCUCUCAUAAGUAUGGAGUAAUUUACAGUACCAUGACAUGCAUGCUCAAAUUCGUCUUUUGAGAGUUCUCUUGAAAUGCAUGCUGAGUAAAGUACUUCUCACUGGAGAUUUACCCUUUUGAGAUGUUUUUAACAUGUAAGGCAUGUCUGAAACAAUAAGAAUCAUGUAUUGCAAUGGUUUAAAAAUUAGUAGGUUUUGGACUGAUUUCAUUUUGUGAAUGGUCACCAAUGUUACCACAUCUUCUAAUGUGGGACAUACAUUAAAUUACUCUCUCAGAUUCUUAAGCAUUAUUCAAUCUUGACAAAGACCUCUAGACAGUAGUUUGUGAUCUGUUGUGAACCACAGUCUGAUUAUCUCCAACUGGCUCUUCAGAAUAAUAAAUUAUCAACAUUAAGCUUGUGUUUGUAAUAGGAAGAGAACAUGGCCGUCUGAUGCAUGUCUGAAAGAAAUGAGCAUGCAUUGUACAAGUAGCAUUGAGUUUAACUUGCGCACAUAUCAAUUGAUUUUCAGUGCUAUGGUUUGCACUCUUGUUGAAUUUAUCUAUACUUGAUAGAUAGAGGCAUCUAAGACAGUACAUGUGAUCUAUUGUCUCAUGGGACCAUCAUUUUAAACAAUAAUUCUUCUCAAUCAAAUGGAUUUCAAGAUACUAUUGGAACUAUAUAUGCACCACCAUCUUCCUUCACACAUCACAAACCACUCAAGCAAACAAAUUACAAACACUUUUCUUAAAUCUGAAAAUUCAGUUUGUUUUUCAAACCAUUACAAGAUGGGUUUCCGAUUACCUUCUAUUAGACGUGCUUCUUUUAUAGGUAGCCAAGCAUCGUCAAAAACUUUGAAUUGCCAAAAGGUUAUCUUGCUGUGUAUGUUGGAGAGAAAUGAAGCGCUUUGUUAUUCCUAUGUCUUACUUGAACCAACCUUCAUUUCAAGACUUGUUGCAUGCAGCUGAGAAGAAUUCGGAUAUGAUCAUCCGAUGGGCGGCCUCACAUUCCUUGCACGCAGAUGUUUUCUUGCAUAUUACUCUCCGCUUCAAUGGACUAUGAAACUCUAGCUGCAAGAUACUGACAAUUAGGAUUAGCAGUGACAUUUUGUACAACAGUCACAUAUUUAUAUUUGUAUAGAUUUUCCUUUCCGCUACUUUUUGGGAAUGGUAGAAUUGUCCAUCUGAAUGACAAAUUCAGGAAACAAAAUAUUGUGUUAUAUUUAUUUCUAAUCAUAAUGAAAUAAUAUUCAACAACGAGACGGUUUGCCUAUAUGCUUCUUAUUUAUAAAUUCUAAUACAGAAAUAUAUUGUUUUAAUGUAAAAAUCAGUUCGCAAUCAGUAAUAAUUUCUAGUUUAAGGCCAGUGUGUUAUCAUUAUAUCAACCAAUUAUUCUAACAUUUAUCGGGCCUAGUUAAUUAUUAGCCGAACAUAAUUGUAGAUAAGUUAGCCUUUUAUCCUAAGUUAUAAUUUUUUUACACACCUUAUGAUUCUAUUCUAUCAACUGCUUCUUCAUCUUAGGCAAGAGGGCAAAAUGAAACUGAGAUAAGUUGCAAGGACAGUAAAUGUUUGUUUGUCUUUCGGGCGAAGUUGUUUGACGCACAAGCAGCUCUGAUUAAGGGAAGCUUUGAGUUAUGUUAUUUACUGAAUCAUGUUUAACUGCCCAUUUUAUGUGUUAGAGUUUUGGCUAAGAAAGAAACUAGCAAUAGAAGACUUUCAUAAUUUGGAUCAAUAAGUGGUAAGCCCUGACUCCUAUUAUUUGAUGUUUAUCUUCAAUUUGAGGCUCUAAAUAUAUGUCUCCAAUAGAUGCUCUCCGCUUAUAGUGCUCUGCUCAGUCUCUGUUAAUUAGCUCCGUAAAACAAUGAACUGCAUGGCAUGUAAUUUUGAGACUGUGAUAUAUUUUGAUUUAAGAAAGGAAUACUAAAUUAUUGGAGACUGAGAUAAUCUUUUGUUAGUAAUGUAAUAGACAGUUCCAUUAAAUUGGGGCAUGGCUUCAUUGACUUGUGUUUGUGCAUGCAACACAAGUAUUUAAGAUCGAGAUUAAAACAACAGAGAAUUCAUCAGAGUAUGAAUUUGGUUUGUUUUAGCUUUAAUUAACACGUCUCUAGUACUAAUAAAUAUUAGUUUGAUUAGAUGAGUUCCAAAAACAACGGAUGAAUUCACAAAAAAUAUAGUUUUGAUUAGAUUCCCUCAUUUCAUAUUUCCCACUUAGAGGAAACAUCAAAAUUGACAGGAAUUCCUGAAUGUACAAAAAUUGUCUCCACUAACUUAGAUCUACACUGUUUCUAUGCUAACCAUUCAUUAUGCAUUUUUUGCCGUAUGAAUUCUUAUAGGUUGUUCAAGCAAGAAACUGUAUAAAUGUAAGUCGAUAUCUUCCUUGCACGGAUUGUAAGACCGCCCAUUAAGGAUGAACAGUAACCGUAUUCAAUACUCAGCUUGAUAAGCAGUUCUUGAAAUAAAGGCUCGUUCAAGAUAAGAUAAUUGGAAUCAAAACCUCCCUUGCUUUCUCUCCGACAUAACACGCAAGAUAAGCCUUUUGGGACUCACCUUGUUUGCUAGAUAAUGAUCGUCUUAUACGCAGGGUUAAGUGAAAACCCAUUCCGUUUUGUUUCUUGACAAUAGAAUGAUCUCAAAGAAGUAGGAGAAGAAAGAAAUGAACUUGAAUUCUGACGCUUCCAAGGUAUGAAUGGUUUGUGUUGCUUGUAAACCCAAUGAUGGAUAUAUAUAUAGAGAGAGUUUGAAAACCAAUUGUAUAGCGAAUGAGUUAUUGAAUGGGUGUUAGUGGGAGCCAUGGCUCAUUAAUGAUCACAUGGUACUGUCUUGAAAGCUUUCCUAGAGGACCAUAAAAUGUGAGAUUACAUACCCCACCUUUUGAAAAAGAGACUAGAGAUAGCUUACUUAAUAUAAUUCAGACAAGCUCUAGACACAUCAAAUGUCUUGUUCUUGUUUUUGUAAGACAAGUUAUAUCCAACCAAUAAACAAUGCAAUCUUCUUGGAUGCUGCUGCAACUUUGUAUGGACAGACUACGGCCACGUUGUUGAUCUAACCGUAAAAAUGUGGCUGAUAUAUCAAUUAGAUAAAUUUAAUUACUGUAGAGUCUUAAGAAAUCACUCAUUUAAUCUUUGAGAAAGACCUCUAGACACUUUCAUGUGAUCUCUUGUCAACAUUAAGCUGUGUUGGCUAUGAGAAGAGAACAUGUGACAUGUCUAAUGCAUGUCUGAAAAGAAAAUGAGUAGGUAUUGUACAAGCUAGCAUUCAGUUUAACAUAAGCCUUUCAUUCAGAAGAUUGGUUUGCACUCUAAUAGAACUUAUUGAUCCUUGACAACACCAUGUGAUCUUUCAUCUCAUGCCCCCCAUCAUUUUAAAAAUCAUUUCUCUACCAAAGGGAUUUCAAGAAACUGUUGGAAACUAUAAAUAUAGUGUUCUCCUUCACAACAAUCACAAAUCACUCGAGCAGUCAAACUUAGAUACAUUUUUCUUAUUUGACAAAUUCAGCCGGUUCUUCAAAAUAUUUGAAAUUGGUUUCCCUUUACCUUCAACUAUUAGAAAGGCAUCAUUUAGCAGCAGCCGGACUUCAACAACGAAUGGGUUCCUAUAUGCUUCUAUUUAUAAAUUCUAAAACAGAAAAUAUAUUGUUUAUCAAAAUUCAGUCCAAUCAGUAAUAAUUUUCUAGUUUUGAAGGCAGUGGUUAUCAUUAUAUCAAACCAAUUAUUCUACAUUUAUUGGCCUAAUUAAUUAUUUAGCCAAACUAUAAUUGUAGAUAAGUUACCUUGUAUCUAAGUUUAAUUUUUUUUUACACACCUUAUGAUUGUAUUCUAUCAACUGCUUCUUCAUCUAGGCUGAGCAAUGAACUGAUGAUAAGUUGCAGGUUUUGUCUGUUCGGCGAAGUUGUUUGAUUACAACGACUGUGAUUAAGGGAAGCUAAGCCAGAGCCUAGUACUUGGUUUCAACUGAUGGUCCAGCAAAACUUUGAAUUAUGUUUUUUACUUGAAAUUCAUGUUUAACUGCCCUUUUAUGUGUAGAUUUUGGCUUAACCCAGAGAACUAGCAGUAGAAGACUUUUCAUAAUUUGCUCAAUACGUGGUAAGCCUCAACUCUAUUAUUUGAUGCUUUAUCUUCAAUUUUAGGCUCUAGUUGACUGUCUCCAAUAUAUGCUCUGUUAUAUGCUCUAAAAAUAAGCAUUUUUUAUUGUCUAGUCAUUUUUCCUAAAAAUAUAAUAUUAAUUUAAAAAAGGAUACUAAAUGUAUGGAGACUGUGAUAUUAUUUUGAUUAGUAUGUAAUAGACGGUAUCCAUUAAAUUGGGGGCAUGGCUUCAUUGGCUUGUGUUUGUGCAUGCAACACAAGUAUUUAAGAUGACAUAAAAGUUAACAGAUGAAUUCAUCAAAGUAUAAUUUGGUUCCGUUUUAGGCUUUAUUUACUACCUCUCUAGUAUUAAUUAAUAUUAGUUUGAUUAGAUGAGUUCACAAAAAACAACAGAUGAAUUCACAAGAAUAUAGUUUGAUUAGAUUCUCAUUAAUAAUUUGGUUCCGUUUUAGGCUUUAUUUACUACCUCUCUAGUAUUAAUUAAUAUUAGUUUGAUUAGAUGAGUUCACAAAAAACAACAGAUGAAUUCACAAGAAUAUAGUUUGAUUAGAUUCUCAUUUCAUAUUUCCACUUAAGAGGAAACAUCAAAAUUGAUAGGAAUUCCUGAUGUACAAAAAUUGUCUCAACUAGUAAAUCUACACUGUUCUAUGCUAACAUUCAUAUGCAUUUUUUCCUGUAUGAAUUCAUUAUAGGUUGUUCAAGCAAGAAACUGUAUGUAAGAAGAUAUCUUCCUUGCACGGAAUUGUAAGCCCGCCCAUUGGAUGACAGUAACCGUAUUCCUCUUCAGCUUGGAUAAGCAAUUCUUGAAAUAAAGGCUCGUUCAAGAAUGAUAUUGGAAUCAAAAACCUCCUUGCUUUAUCUCCAACAUACACCGCAAGAUAGCCUUUUGGGACUUCCACUUGUUUGCCAGAUGAUGGUCGUCUAAUACCAAGUAAGUGAAAACCCAUUCUUGUUUUUGUUUCUUGACAAUAGAAUGAUCUUAAAGAAGUAGUAGAAGACAGAAACGAACUUGAAUUCUGACGCUUCAAGGUAUGAAUGGUUUGUGCUGCUUGUAAACCCAAUGAUGGAUAUAUAUAGAGUUUGAAAACCAAUUGUAUAGUGAAUGAGUUAUUGAAUGGAUGUUAGUGGGAGCUAUGGCUCAUUAAUGAUCACAUGGUACUGUCUUGAAGGCUUUCCUAGAGGACCAUAAAAUGUGAGAUUACAUACCCCACCUUUUGAAAAAGAGACUAGAGAUAACUUACUUAAUAUAAUUCAGACAAGCUCUAAACACAUCAAAUAUCUUGUUCUUGUUUUUGUAAGACAAGUGAUAUCCAACCAAUAAACAAUGCAAUCUUCUUGGAUGCUGCUGCAACGUUGUAUGGACAGACUACUGCCACAUUGUUGAUCUAACCGUAAAAUGUCGCUGAUAUAUCAAUUGGAUAAAUUUAAUCACUGUCGAGUCUUAAGAAAUCACUCAUUUAAUCUUUGAGAAAGACCUCUAGACAGAUUCAUGUGAUCUCUUGUCAACAUUAAGCUGUGUUGUCUAUGUGAAGAGAACAUGUGCCAUGUCUAAUGCAUGUCUGAAAAUAAAUGAGUAGGCAUUUUACAAGCUAGUAUUCAGUUUAACAUAAGCCUUUCAUUCAGAAGAUUGGUUUGAUCUCUAAUAGAACUUAUUGAUCCUUGACAAGAAACUGUUGGAAACUAUAAAAUUAGUGUCCUCCUUCACAACAAUCACAUGUUACUCAAGCAGUCAAACUUAGAUAUACAUUUUUCUUAUGUGACAAGUUCAGCCGGUUCUUCAAAAUAUUUGAAAUUGGUUUCCUUUUACCUUCAACUAUUAGAAAGGCAUCAUUUAGCAGCACCCGGACUUCAUCAAAAGUUACGAAUGUGCCGAAGGGUUAUCUUUCACUGUACGUUGGAGAGCAAAUGAAGCGGUCUGUGAUUCGGAUGUCAUAUUUGAACCAAUGGUCAGCCUCACAAUUCCUUGCACAAGAAGAUGUUUUCUUGCAUAUAACUUCUGGCUACAUUCAAUUUCACAUUCAUUCCACGUUCAAUUUGGAAGAGAAUGACUUCCACAUUCUAUAUAUGCUCGUGUUAUCCGUUUUACAUAUAACAAAUUCAGAGUUCAAGUUCUCACUUUUUCAUCUACUACUUCUUUGAGACCAUUCUACUACUUUGAAAAGAGACAAUGGAAAAAAAGAAAUUGCAGUUCACAUGUUUCUGGGGCUGAAUUGCUGGAUUAGAAAAAAGUCUAUACAGAAGUUAAACCCAUCAAAUAAUAGAAUUCAGAUUUACCACUUAACCCAAUUAUGGAAUGUCUAUCUACGAUGACAAUUAGUUGACGGAUUUUGAGGAUAUUUCUAAUCAGUUGGUUUUUCAUUUUGAGGGGAUGGUGCUAAUACUAUUCAAGUUCACAUGUUUCUGAGGCUGAAUUGCAGGACUAAAAGGAGUCUGUACUGAAGUUAACCACAUCAAAUGUUUCUAACCCAAUUGGUUUUACAUUUUACAUUUUGAGGAAAUUUCCAAUACUGAUAAUAAUUGCUUGGAUACUAGUUUGAUUGAGGAAAUCAUUCCUAGCUUUGUUGAUGGAUAGAACAAUAAUAUGCUUAAUAUUUUCAAUGAAAAGGAGGUGAGGUGUUGAACAUAGUAGGGAGAUUGGUGUAACUAACUAGUACAUAGAAUAGAUUAACUGAAUCCUAACUAACCUUUAGUUAGUUAUCAAUUGGCUAGAUAGAGGUUCAAGUUAGUUACAAGUUACUUGCUCUAUAAGUUAUCAUAUUCAGGUGUAUGCAUGGAUGAUGAUGAGUAGUGAAAAAUUCUGCAACAUAUCUUUCUUCUUCGAUCUUUCUUUCUGCACUUUUACAUUUUUAGCUUGAUUCUUAACAUGGUAUCAUCGACCCCUGAUCAAGUCUCCACUGUUGCACUCACUUAACUCAUCUCUUCCAUCUUGGUUUUCUCUCAGUUUUCUGCAUUGUUCCAAUUGUGUUUUUCUGUGUUAACCAUGCCAGUUGCAAGCUCUGCAAGCAGCCUCAAUGGCAGAACUCCAUCACAUGCCAAUAACAAAGGUUAUCAAACCGAUACCCUCAAUCCCUAUUUCAUGCAUCCCAAUGAAAAUCCUGCUUUGGUUCUGUUUCCCCUUUGCUUUCAAACAAUAAUUAUCAUUCUUGGGCAAGAUCCAUGGCAAUUGCUCUAAGAUCCAAGAACAAACUUCAUUUUAUCAAUGACAGCUUACCUUGACCACUGGAUGAAGAUCACAAUUCCCUUGCUUGGGAUCGAUGCAACACUAUGACCAUGUCAUGGAUUCACAAUUUUUGAAUCAGAUAUUGCUCAAAGUGUAUUAUGGAUGGAUACUGCAGUUGAAAUUUGGAACGAACUGAGAGACCGUUUUAACCAAGGUGGUGUAUUCAGAAUAUCAAAUCUUCAAGAUGAAAUAUGCAACUUGAAACAAGGUGAUUCAUUUAUUUCUUCUUAUUACACAAAGCUUAAGAAAUUGUGGUAAGAAUUGAACAAUUUUCGUCCAAUUCCCGACUGUUCAUGUGAUGCUACUUGCCAAGCUAUCACCAAGAUUCGUGCAUACAAAGAUGGUGAUCAAGUUAUCAGAUUCCUCAAAAGUCUGAAUGAUCAAUAUUCAGCUGUGAGGUCCCAAAUCAUGCUAAUGGAACCACAUCUAACCAUCUGCAGAGUUUACUCUCUCCUUGUUCAACAUGAAAGACAAGCUAUCUUACCUAUUGAUGAAUCAAAGGUAUUAUCUUUUCCUAAUCUCAGUCAACCUCAAAACCAUACCUCCAAAUCCAAUAUCAAUUCUUGUGGUAGAGGCAUUAGAGGUGAUCGAUCAUUUGGUGGAAGAGGCCGAGGUUCACGAAUUUGCACUCAUUGUGGCAUGGCCAACCACACAGUUGAUUCUUGCUUCAAAAAUCAUGGUUUUCCCCACAUUGGAAGCAAGAUGGCACAAUCAACCGUUAUGCAACUAUUACUGACAAAGUAGAGGAAUCUCAAAUUGAUUUCAAUGGAGUAAAUGAGCAAGUUCAAGGUAACUUGAUUUUCACACCAGUCUAGCAUAAAGCAUUGCUGGCUCUCCUUCAGGGAUCCUCAUCUUCCCAGGCUCACAACAUCAUCAUCUGGCAACUCAACUUGAAAGUGACUCAGGUAUCAUAUGCACUAUUCCUCACCUUCCUAGACCUAAUAACUUUAUACUUGAUACUGGUGCAACUGACCAUGUAUGUCACACAAAAGAUUUUUUUUCAAUGCAUCAAAAUAAUCAAUCCCAUAACCAUCAAAUUGCCAAAUGCAGCACUUGUCACUACUAAUUAUGCUGGAACCAUACACUUUGAUCAAUAUUUAUAUAUCACUGAUGUUUUAUACAUGCCUGAUUUUUCCUUUAAUCUCAUAUUUGUUCCCAAGCUAACCAAAACCUUGAGCUAGCAAUUGAUGUUUAAUGAUACUGAUUGUAUUAUACAGGAUACUCACUCCAAGAAGAUGAAUGGCACAACUAGAUUAAAUGGUGGAUUGUAUAUCUUAGAUUCUCCCUCAGUUACCUUGUAUCACACUCUAUCAACUCACUUUAUUGAUACCUUACAUAAUCACUCUUUAGACACAUCAUAAAAUUGUAAUCUUUGGCACUUAAGGCUUGGCCACCCCUCAGAUACCAAUUUAAUUUAAUUAAAUAAAUGUUUUCCUUUUGUCAAAUCUGUGAAUUCUGCUAUUCCUUGUGAUGUAUGUUUCUAUGGUAAGCCAAAAAGACUUCCAUUUUCCCUUAGUUCUCAUAUUUCUACUUUUGUUUUUGAUUUAGUGCAUAUGGAUAUUUGGUGCCCCUUAUCCACACCAUCUAUGAUGGGAUAUAGACACUUUCUAGUUGUUGUGCAUGAUAAAAGUAGGUUCCCUUGGUUAUUUCUCAUGAGAUUGAUAUCUGAAGCACCGUCCAUCAUGAAAUCAUUUGAUUCAAGUCACUCUUUACUUAAAGUAUAUUUAUAAUUUAAGAGAGGAUAUUGAAUGUAGGGAGAUUUUGAUAAUCUUUUGAUUAACAAAUACAUAAUAUAAACUUUUAUGUAUAGUGGAAGGGCUGCUAGGAACUUAGACUAAAGGGUUGCCACUAAUUGAAUGCUUUCUGACAACAGCUUCAACGAUAAGUCCAUGUGAAGGGCACGAGAAUUCCUUGUGAUUGUGGAUUCCAUCACCUUCUUCAAACAUCACAAAAAAAUGCAACAUACAAAUACAAUUUAAUCGGUGACUAAGACGUUGUUUUGAGUUUUGUUGACUCAUGUAUGGCCUUGUAAUACAUACCAUACCAGGUUUGUAUUAUCAUAUCUAUUAUUAGUAUGUAAUAGACAGAAUCCAUCAAAUUGGAGCAUGGCUUCAUUGGCUUGUGUUUGUGCAUGCAAUGCAAGUAUAUAAGAUGACACAAAAAACAGCAUAUAAAUUCACAAGAAUAUAGUUUGAUUAGAUUCCCAUUCCAUAUUUCCACUUAAGAGGAAACAUCAAAAUUGACCGGAAUUCCUGAUGUACAAAAAUUGUCUCAACUAGUCAAUCUACACUGUUCUAUGCUAACAUUCAAAUGGAUUUUUUGCUGUAUGAAUUCAUUAUAGGUUGUUCAAGCAAGAAGCUGUAUGUAAGAAGAUAUCUUCCUUGCACGGAAUUGUAAGACCGCCCAUUGGAUGACAGUAACCGAAUUCCUCUUCAGCUUGGUUAAGCAAUUCUUGAAAUAAAGGCUCGUUCAAGAAUGAUAUUGGAAUCAAGAACCUCCUUGCUUUCUCUCCAACAUACACCGCAAGAUAGCCUUUUGGGACUUCUACUUGUUUGCUAGAUGAUGAUCGUCUAAUACCAGGUAAGUGAAAACCCAUUCUCGUUUUGUUUCUUGACAAUAGAAUGAUCUCAAAGGAGUAGUAGAAGAAAGAAGUGAACUUGAAUUCUGAUGCUUCAAGGUAUGAAUGGUUUGUGUUGCUUGUAAACCCAAUGAUGGAUAUAUAUAUAGAGAGAGUUUGAAAACCAAUUGUAUAGCGAAUGAGUUAUUGAAUGGGUGUUAGUGGGAGCCAUGGCUCAUUAAUGAUCACAUGGUACUGUCUUGAAGGCUUUCCUAGAGGACCAUAAAAUGUGAGAUUACAUACCCCACCUUUUGAAAAAGAGACUAGAGAUAGCUUACUUAAUAUAAUUCAGACAAGCUCUAAACACAUCAAAUAUCUUGUUCUUGUUUUUGUAAGACAAGUGAUAUCCAUCAGUACAUGAAAUCUAAUCAAUAAACCAUGCAAUCUUCUUGGAAGCUGCUGUAACUUUGUAUGGACAAGCUACUGCCACAUUGUUGAUCUAACCGUAAAAUGUGGCCGAUAUAUCAAUUGGAUAAUUGACAAGGAUCAAACCAUGAACUUUGCUUCCACAGUUGAGCCAAACAUUAACUGAAAUAGUAAAAGUAAGAACAUCUUAAGGUUCUGUUUAUGGGCUUAUGUAAAUUCUUAAAAUUUAAUCUAUGUUAUAAAAUUCUUAAAAUUAGAAGUAUAUUAAUCAUAUAUUAAAGAUUGUUUCCUUUUGAAUCAUUGCUCAACAUUUUAAAAUAGGUUUAUCAAUCAAGUUCUGCUACCAAACUAUUCUUAUAAGCUGCAAAAAUCAUCAAACAUUUAUCUGUUCACGUUAGAAUAGAAUAUCUUUGCAGGGAAAUGUUGCUAGACUUUUCUUCGGAAGACUGCAACUAUUGAAAAGGAUAUAUAUAGGGUUGUUGACAUUAAUAAUUCAGUUUCAGGAUACAGUUUUCUGCUACUUGUGGAUUCAAACGUGUACUACUACUAUCUUCUGGUUAGGAUGACUACUGACCAAUUCCUUGUUACAGGUUCCAUUGUUGCCUCCUAGCAUAUAUGAUUUGUAGCCACUAAUUGGCUUAAAAGUCACCCCUAAGAUGAUUUUUGCUGCUAUAUGUCGACAUUGAGCCGUGUUACCAGUAUGAAGAGAACAUGGCACAUGUCUACAAUACAUGAAUGGCCAUAAAAUAGAUUUCAAGUGAGUGGUCUACAAAAGGUGUGGUGUAUUAUGCACACUCUUAUUCAACUUACUGGUCCUUGAUAGAGAGACAUCAAAUCAUGUGAUCUCUCAUCUCAUGGACCCCAUCAUUUAACACUGUAAAUGCAUUAUCACCCUCCAUAACAAUCAAAACUCAUUUGCAUACUCAACCAUCAAAAGUUAGAUACUUUUUUCUAAUAUUUCAGAGCCUUAUUUGUUCUUUGAAACAUUUGAAAUGGGCUUUCAUUUGCAUGCAAUUAUUGAUGUGCUUCAUUAAGCAGAAGCCGAACAUCAUCGAAGGUACUGAAUAUGCCAAAGGGCUAUCUUGCCGUGUAGGUUGGAGAAGAAAUGAAGUGGUUUGUGAUCCCCAUGUCAUACUUGAACCAAACUUCAUUUCAAGGCUUGUUGAGUCAAGCUGAGGAAGAAUUUGGGUACGAUCAUUCAAUGGGUGGCCUCACAAUUCCUUGCACAGAAGAUGUUUUCUUGCAUAUUACUUCUGGCUUCGACGGACUAUAAAUCUAAAAUUGCAAGAUAUUGACAUAGACUAGUAUUGACAUUUUGUACAAUAGGCAUAUUUUAAACUUGUAAAUAUUUUCCUUAUUCCUUUAUUGGGAAUGGAUGCAAUUUGUCCAUCUGAAUGACAUAAUUUUGAACAACUCAACUCAGCUCCUCUCUGUUUCUGUUUCUGUUGAUGAAUUACUAGACUAGUGAUUUCUUGGAAAAAAGAUGCUAGUUUCAUCCUAAAGUUAUGAUGAGAGAUUGAUACAAAAGUUUUCCAGGUACGACUUUAGCUUCUAAUUUAAGAAAUAUUCAUCAAGCCUGAGCUGAUAAUGGUAUAAUUUCUAUAAAGGUUUUAAAAUGCAGUUGAAUAUUAGAUAUUACAGCGAAUCGUUGUCAAAAUGUGGGUCAUCUAUUUCCUGGUUUUUUCCUCACUACAGAAAAAAUAUCAUCUUAUCUUUAAAGGGUUCUUACUUCUUGCAGUGUCCAAAUCAUACUACAUCAUCACAUGGCUUGUUACUUUGUCAGUUGUUUUAAAACGAGAAAUUCUAGCUACAAACAUAGGUUUCAACUUCAAAAAUUACCCUCAAUCAUCAAUAAGGCCUAAUCAUUUCAUAUCGAACACAAUUAAUUUGUUACUUGUGUAAGAAGUAACUUAACUACCUUAACAAAUUUAAGUAACUUUUGAAUUAUGCUUUAAGUCUCUAAAUUAAGUAUAUUGAGCAUGUUUUUCAUUUCUUUAAACUUAUCAAUCUCCAAUGGUUUUGCUAAAGCAUCUGCAAUUUGAUUAUUAGUUUUGCAGUCUUCCAUUUGCUUACUUGGUUUCUAAAAAGGUGGAAUUUAGUUUCUAUGUGUUUGCUUUUCCUAUGAGAUAUGAGAUAAUUAUUAAAAUCGGUAAACCACUUCUACCAUAAACUCUGCCUUUUCUUCAUUGUCAAUCUUUAUUUCACGGACCAAUGAUUGCAACCAGAUAUCUCGACAGGCUGCAUUGCAAGUUUAGAUGUAUUCAGACUCACAUGACAACAAUGCCAUAAUGAUUUGUUUCUUAGAAUACCGUUGCAAAAGUUAACUUAUCCCAUUAUACUCCUUUCUAUUUUUUCACCACAUUAGUCUGAAUAAAAAAACCAAUUUAUUUGCUUCUCCGACUUUCAUAUUUUUGAAAAAACACCAAAAUCAAUUAUGUCUCGGAGAUAUUGAAUUAUCUUUUUACUCAUUUCAUAUGUGAUAGUUUAGGUUUCUCCAUAAAUCUACUUACUAAUCUUACACUAAAGCAUAAAUCAUGUCUUGAGUUGCAAGUUUGUCUUCUAAUCUAUAAAACGACGAUUCCUUAAAAUAUCAAUAUUGUGAUUCUUCUUAUGACUCAUCAUUCAUCUUCUAAUUUCACAAACUAAUAGCCAACAAUUGUACUUUAAUCCUCUUCAAUAUGUCAUAUCAAACUCAUUAUUUAUAUGCAAUUUGAAGUCUUUAAUCUCAAAUAUAACCACAACUACUACUUUUCAAUUCUUGUUACUAGGGUAAAGAUUUAUGUAUAAUCAAGGUUAUUAUUUUUCAAAAACCCUUUUGCAAUAAGUCUUCCUAAUUCUUUGCAAUGGGGCCAUUUGAUAGGUACUUGAAUUUUUAAAUCUACUUGACUUUUUAUGUGCCGGUAGUGAUACUAGAUUCCAAGUCCAAUUAUGUACUAUUUGAGCGCCUCAGAAAAUUUAGAUUGCGUCUGAAUCUAGCUAAGUGUACAUUUGGGAUCCGAUCAGGGAAGUUAUUUGGUUUCAUUGUUAGUCAACGAGGAAUUGAAGUAGAUCCAGACAAGGUCAGAGCGAUACAAAAAAUUCCAGCUCCACGAACUGAAAAGCAAGUUGGAGGUUUUCUUGGAAGAUUGAACUAUAUUUUCAGGUUUAUUUCCAACAUGACUGCUGUAGCGGUAAAUUCAUGACCAUUAAGCUAUGGAUAAACUUAACGUCAAUAAAACUAGAGUCGGCACCGCACUUUUAUUUUUCCAAAGGAAAAGGGAAAAGUACAAAAAAACCCCAAAGAUAAGAAGUUUUCAAAUAAAAACUAAUAAAAUGCCAGAGAUUACAAGUAAGGGGGUUGGUUACACAAAGGGAAGAUGUUAGCACCCAAGGUACUCUUAGGGAGUCAUUUUUUAUGUGUGUAUGUGUUUUUAGUAUAAAAGAUGUUUGCAAUAAAUAGAGUGUGGGGAUGAGAAAAGAAUUCAUUAAUUAUACUUUUGUGUUUGAGAAGACCUUCAGACUUGUGCCUACGUACCAACAUAAAAAUGAGGGAUCAAAAUCUUGUAGUUCGUGGUAUCAAUUUCAAAAUGAGUGGAUUGCUUUUAAUCAAAAUUAAAGUUUAUAAGAGGCAUAGAAAGGGGCCUAAAAGUUUGAAUGAGUGUUAGUUCUUUUUGUCUUUUGAAAUUUUAAGUCAAUAUGAUUUGAUUUAUUUACAAGUUUGAUUAAGAAAAUAGUUUUAAAAAUGCAAUGACAUAAGGCCGAAGUUUCUAAUUUGCAAUAAAUUCUAAGUUUGAAAUCACAAGCAAAAAAAGUUUUUUAAAAAGGGGGAGAGAUUUUGAAAUUUAAGAAGUGGGAGGAAAUGAAGAGACUAAUCCUAAGCAUAAAAUUAAAAGUUAAUGGUUGAAAAGAUCUAACCAAUGGGAUGCAAUCCAACAGAAAAGAAUGUCAUAUAGAAAACUCACUUUCCCUUUGGACUUUGAAUCAAGCAAUAAUCAGCAAGUAAUUAGCAAUAUCAAGCAAGACAUCAAAUAAAGAUAGUCACAUCCAAGCAAGCAACUUCACAGCUAUCAGUCUUCUUUGCCUUCUCAUGUAUCAGAUGACAUACUCAUUGGCUUUGCUCAGAAUAAGACAUUAGACACAAGUUCAAAGUAACAAUUGCAUCAGAACCAAAUAACAAAUGAAUUCAAGUGGAUCCCAAUACUUGCAUUAGAUGAAAACUCAAAUCACAAUAACUUGGUCUCCGAAAUGUUGGCAUUGACUAAGUCUUUUUUGCAUAUGGAAUGUUGCCUAAUUCUAAGUACAAUAGCUCAGAUCAAAUUCAAUAGUCCACACAAACAUUCUUUAAGGUUUUUGUUGUUUCAUAAGUAUUUUAAGGUCCUAAGACCACAAACACAAACAAAAUAUACAAACAAAUAUAUACAAUCAUAAUAUAUGGCUCAAAUGAGCAAAGUGAAAAUGACAUAAACAUAAACAAGUUAGAUGAUAUGUAAAUGACAAAUGAAAUGGUAAAUGACUUGAAUUUAAAUUGCAUAAAGUAAAUGACUUGAAAAAUAAAAGCAAUAUUAAUACAAGUUAGUCAAAUGUUAGUUGAUUAGAUGUUAGUGAUGUUUUCCUUUUCAAUUGAUUAAGUCAUUCUUUGGAGAACAUUCAACCCUCUAUUCACAAGCAUGGAUCCUUGAACCAAGACAUCUUCCAAAGGAAGGAAAAAAGACCAAGUUUCCACACAAUACCAUGAAAUGGGGGAGACUCACAAUCUCACUUACUAGAAUGCUAUGCCUUUAGGGUCAAAAUUUAGCUCUAUGUUAAGCAAUCGUAAUUUGACUUAUGCAUAAGUCACAACUAUCUGAGGUCGGGUAAUAGAAAUUUUGGCGUCAAUGCAUGUUAGAUAUAUGGUAUAAUGAACCAAACUCCUACAACAUACCACACACAAAAAGAAAAAGAUAAAAGGAUAAACUUAUCUCAUCCAUAAUUGUAUUGGUUCAUCUAACACAAGGUUAUUGAUGAACCAAUUAGCCUUAGGAUAUUGAGAUUUCAUUGAUCAAUGAAAGGGAUGGGAGAGAAUGGGAUUGAAGAUGAAGAGGGAGGGGAUAUGAGAUAAACACAAAUUGGUCAUGGGAGGAAUUUUAUCAAAUUAAAAUCAUUCAUUCAUUUUGGGAGAUGAAAUGUACUUUUCAUCAAUCCCCUAAAUCCAAUGAUUUUAACUCAACAAAAGUUAAAUCAACCUUGACCAAGGCACAAACACAUAGUCAAACAUCACAAGUCAAUAAAAAUGACUCAACAUAAUUUCUACACAAUUAAUCAAUUAAAAAUCAAAUUAAAAAUGCAUUUAAAUUAAAUUUAGUUUGGUCAAAACCUAAAACCUCUUCAAAAUAACAAAUAAAUGGCCAAGAGAUUUAUACUAGGUCAAACAAGGUCAAAGGACCUUACACAAAAAAUUUCAUAAUUUUUGAAAGGUCAGAAGUAUUUUUAAACAAUUAAAAAUAUGCACAAAAACAAUUAAUUCAUGAAAAAUAUCAAAAUUUAUCCAAAAAUUAAUUUUAAUUCAGAAAAUGAGAUAGGAAAAUAUUUAAAUAUUUUUGGUGAAAGUCCCAUGUUUUUUGGAUUAAAAAUGAAAUUGAUAUGAAUUAAUUAAAAUAACACAAUUAAAUGGAAAAUAAGAAAAUAUGAAAAAUCAGUGGUCAUCAGAUCUCCCUCAUUAAUUGAGGUGGCAGGUCUGAUGGCCAAACGCGCGCGUUCCAUGAUGCACUGCAGUCAACGUGUCACACACUUGGUAAUGAGAACCAAUGACUAAGAUUAAAAUAAUUUAAAUGGAUCUUGUGGCUGAGAGGUGUGACAACACACCACCGGAGCUAAGACUUUGGUCUUCUUCUCCGGUGGACCUCACCGGACUGGUCCACCAUCAACCAUCACCAAAAUGAAAAACAAAGACAUAGAUUUAAAGAAAAAUGCUCAGGAGCUCGAAUCUGGCCUCAAUUUUCUCCAAUUACAAGUAUAUAAAAAGAUACAAGGAUUUGAAUUUUGAGGAUCAUGAACUGAGUUGCUUCGAUUUAACCUCAAAGCAACUCAAUCUUCUUGCCUACAUUGGUAGGACUUCAGCCAAGCAAAACUCAUAAAGAAUAGUGAAGAAUUAAGGGAGAAUCGAAGAGAUGAAAAUUCUGGAAAAUUACCUUCGAGGGAGCUUCAAUCUUGCUUGAUCUUGAUUCCAAUUGUGCUUGGAUUUGUUUCAGAAGCUUGUAGGAAGUGAUUAUGUUCAAGAAAUGGCCUGGACUCUUGGAGUUUCAAUCUCAAAACAGAAGGAGAUUUGAAGCUCGAUUUUAAAAUGAAAACCUUCAAGAUUAUCCUUUAAUGGUGAGAGUUUGGAUUGCAGGUUCAAAGCUUGGGCAUGAGGUCCUUAAUUCUGAGUAAUAAGGGUUGUAUUUAUAGCCAAAGAGAUUCAUUUCCACACACUUCCAAAAAUUGCCAAUUUUAGUAAUUCUCUUUGAAUGCUUGCAUGGGUGUGUGAUAGGUCCAUCAAUUGAUGUAUUCAGGUCCAAAAAUGAGUGAGGAUCAUGCUAAAAUCAUGUCAUGUGGCCAUGCAUUUGUGUAUGAAAUGUGGUAGUAAAAAUCAUCCAAAUGGCAUCUCACAUUGCAUCCAUGCGUAAGUCCUUCAUUCUUUGGUCAAAUAAGGUGAUCUUGGACUUUUUGGAAAGGCGAGAUCAAGGGGAACAACUUUUAUGAUGAACACGUUUUUAUUUGAAGCUUGGAUCAUGAUAAAUUUUGAGGUGGAAGUUAGGGAAAUCAAACAUAUUUGAAAAUUUUCUAAGUCCCAAGUCAAAUGUUCACUUCUUCCACCUUGAACAACUUUUUCUAUGGACUUCAAAUGAAAAACAUUCCUUCAUCAAAGUUGUAGCUCUUUCAAAACUAUUAAAUUUGAUCACAAAUUUGACUUUAUUUGGAUUUGUAAUGAAGGAGUUAUGCAUUUUAGAAGUUGAGGAAAAUCACUUGUUCAAUGAUAUUGACCCAAAAUGACCUAUAAUGUUUCCUCUUGGCACAUGCAUUUGCAAGUUGAAUUUGAACUUCCUCCAAAUUUCCGAGUAGUGGUUAGUGACUUAUUUCGUGAGGGACCGACUGUAACGAUUUUGUUAACUUUUUGUGGUGUUAUAAUGAUAGGACAAUUCAUACAAGACAUUAAACAUCAACAACAAAGGAAUAUGGAAUUCUAGACACAAAUAUAAACACCGGAUCAAAUGAUGCAACACUAUGACAAUGGAAAAAGAUUACACAUGUUGCAGUAUCCUUUUGUUGAUGAAACAUGAAAACACAUUGAUCAGAUACAUCUUAGUAACCGGAUCAAAUGAUGCAACACUAUGACAAUGGAAAAAGAUUACACAUGUUGCAGUAUCCUUUUGUUGAUGAAACAUGAAAACACAUUGAUCAGAUACAUCUUAGUUUAAACAUUGAACCACAUAAAUGUGAGACUCCGAUUAUAUUAUGAUGAUUUUACAUCGUAUAUCCAAUUGUUGUUUCGUCAUAUUCUUGUCACUAGUUUGUUUUUAUUUUUUGUUUAUCCGACUUUAAGGUACAUGCAAUUGUUUUUGUAUAAUUUGAUUUUUAUACAUUUUCUAAUUGAGUGAUUAAGUAGGAAAAAAUAAUUUGAGUAGGAGACUUUUAGACAUUAAUUAGUCAAACUUAAAUUAGAUAAUUCUGUAAGUGUUAGAAGAAUUUAUUAAUGAAGAGUAUUAAAUCGAUUACUUUAAGAAAAAUUGAUUAAUAAGACACGGUUAAUUGAUUAAUGAGAAAGGAAUAACUAAUAAUAAGAAUAACAUAAUUGAUUAAUGAGUAAACAAUAGUAAUUUGUAACAGAACAGUAUCAAUUAAUAAAUAAAGAGCAACUAAUAAUAGUAUUGAAUUAAAUUUUUAAACCACUAGAGGACAAACACUAAUUUCAAAAUUAAAAACCACCUGCAUUUAGAAAUUAAUUAGUUAAAGUUAAAUUAGAUAAUUUAUUAAGUGUUAGAAAAAUUUAUUAUUGAAGAGUAUAAAAACGAUUGCUAUAAUUUAAUAGGAUAUUGUUAAUGGAUAAAGAGUAACUAAUAAUAAAGAAUAACUUAUAAUAGUACUAAUCAAUUAAUAAGUAAAGAGUAUUAAUUAUUAGUGAAUGGAUAAUUAAGUAUAAUUAAUAAAAAUAAUAGUAAUGCUAAUUCAAUAAUUAAGUGAUUAAUUAGUUUUCUUACCGCAGAUAGAUUACUAGUUGUAGAAAAUAGUAAGUUUGUAUAGGAGAGCCAAAAAAAAAAAAAAAAAAAAAUUACUAAAGUAUAGUAGUAUACAUGGUGGACCUUGAACUCCUUGAAGAAUUUUGUGUAUAAUUAAUUAGUACUAGUAAUUAAGUGAAGUUGAGGCAAGAGAACGAAUUAAAAAUAGAUGCAGAAUUGAAGAGAGAAAUAAUAAGCAAGGAGAAAUAAUUGUACUACUUACUUUUAGUCCCACAUUGACUGCCUAAUUUCAUUGUUUAGUGUUUAUAUACCAUAGUUAAGAGAACCACUAUCGUCCCUUCGGGGACAUCCGAUAAAAUUGGAACGAUACAGAGAAGAUUAGCAUGGCCCCUGCGCAAGGAUGACACGCACAAAUCGAGAAAUGGUCCAAAUUUUUUUGAGAUUUUUUUCCCUGUCUCGUCUUCUUCGCUGCCGUUCAGACAUUGUUGUUAGGGUUUUGCUUUUCUGCAUUUCCUUUUCUCUUUGAUUUUGAGUUUAGGGUUUUGUUUUCUCUUCAAUGCAGGUGGUGUUCGUGACGACGUGACUCCUAUUUCAACCAAGUAUUAGGGUUUUGUUUUCUGAUUUUUUUUUGACUUUUCUCUCCCGUUCAGAUAUUAUUAGGGUUUUGUUUUCUACAUUUCGUUUUCCUUUUUUCUUUGAUUUUGAGUUUCUUUCAAUGCAGGUGGUGUUCAUGACGAGGUGACUCCUACUUCAACCAAGUAUUAUGUAUGGUUAAAUUCUUGUUCUGAUUUGGUUAUUCUAUCAUUGUUAUGUGUUUGCGAAAACAUAGCUUUCAGUUUUCGUUAUGUAUAGUUAAAUCAUUGUUCUGAUUUGGUUCACCAUAUCGAUCUUCGUUUCAGAAAACAUCAAAUUCACCAUAUAUAUAUAACAUCAUAGCUUUCAGUUUUAUUCUGAUUUGGUUAUGUAUAGAGUUCAUGUGAUAAUGGUCACCACCUUCUUCAACUGUUGGUAGAUUCUUGUCUUAAUUUCAUUUCAAUGCUACUGACUUGCUUCAAAAUUCUGUCACGUGUAAAACAAGUUGAAUUUCUUUUAUAGGUUAUGGUUUUUCUUUAAAGAUUUAUUUCUUUUGAGCUUUGUUGUAUGGUCUCACUACGUAUCCAAUAGAAUAACCAGCCUUGCAUUACCAUAUCUACUAUGUAAGAAUAGUCAGUUUCCAUAAAAUUGGUGCGUUGCAGGGAAUUGUAGACCUUCCAUUGGAUGACAGUAAUCACAUUCCUCUCUAGUAUGGAGUAAUUUACAGUACCAUUGCAUGCAUGCUCAUAAUUCGUCUUUUGAGAGUUUCUCUUGAAAUGCAUGCUGAGUAAAGUACUUCUCACUGGGAGAUUUUACCACUUUUGAGAUGUUUUAACAUGUAGGCAUGUCUGAAACAUAAGAAUCAUGUCAUUGCAAUGGUUUAAAAAUUAGUAGGUUUUGUGGACUGAUUUCAUUUUGUGAAUGGUCACCAUGUUACCACAUCUUCUUAAUGUGGGACAUACAUGUAAAUUACUCUCUCAAUUCUUAAGCAAUUAUUCAAUCUUGACAAAGACCUCUAGACAGUAGUUUGUGAUCUGUUGUGAACCACAGUCUGAUUAUCUCCAACUAGGCUCUUCAAGAAUAAUAAAUAUAUCAACAUUAAGCUGUGUUGUUAAUAGGAAGAGAACAUGUGCCAUGUCUGAUGCAUGUCUGAAAAGAAAUGAGCAGGCAUUGUACAAGCUAGCAUUGAGUUUAACUUGCGCACAUAUCAAUUGAUUUUCAGUGGCUAUGGUUUGCACUCUUGUUGAAUUUAUCUAUACUUGAUAGAUAGAGGCAUCUAAGACAGUACCAUGUGAUCUAUUGUCUCAUGGGACCCAUCAUUUUAACAAUAAUUUCUCAAUCAAAUGGAUUUCAAGAUACUAUUGGAAACUAUAUAUGCACCACCAUCUUCCUUCACAACAUCACAAACCACUCAAGCAAACAAAUUUACAUACACUUUUCUUAAAUCUGAGAAAUUCAGUUUGUUUUUCAAACCAUUACAAGAUGGGUUUCCGAUUACCUUCUAUUAGACGUGCUUCUUUUAUAGGUAGCCAAGCAUCGUCAAAAACUUUGAAUGUGCCAAAAGGUUAUCUUGCUGUGUAUGUUGGAGAGAAAAUGAAGCGCUUUGUUAUUCCUAUGUCUUACUUGAACCAACCUUCAUUUCAAGACUUGUUGGAUGCAGCUGAGGAAGAAUUCGGAUAUGAUCAUCCGAUGGGCGGCCUCACAAUUCCUUGCACGCAAGAUGUUUUCUUGCAUAUUACUUCUCGCUUCAAUGGACUAUAAAUCUAGAGCUGCAAGAUACUGACAUUAGAUUAGCAGUGACAUUUUGUACAACAGUCACAAUUUUAUAUUUGUAUAGAUUUUUCCUUUCCCUACUUUUGGAAUGGGUUAGAAUUGUCCAUCUGAAUGACAAAUUCAGGAACAAAAUAUUUGUUAUUAUUUAUUUCUAAUCAUAAUGAAAUUAUAUUCAACAACGAACGGGUUCCUAUAUGCUUCUAUUUAUAAAUUCUAAUACAGAAAAUAUAUUGUUUAUUAAAAUUCAGUCCAA